rfam:Staphylococcus sp. NAM3COL9 strain NA309 scaffold000011, whole genome shotgun sequence.
GGCCCCGUGGUCAAGCGGUUAAGACACCGCCCUUUCACGGCGGUAACACGGGUUCGAGUCCCGUCGGGGUCA